UAAUACGGGGGGGGCAAGCGUUGUUCGGAAUUACUGGGCGUAAAGGGUUCGUAGGUGGCCGGCUAAGUCAGACGUGAAAUCCCUCAGCUCAACUGGGGAACUGCGUCUGAGACUGGUCGGCUUGAGUGCAGGAGAGGAACGCGGAAUUCCAGGUGUAGCGGUGAAAUGCGUAGAUAUCUGGAGGAACACCGGUGGCGAAGGCGGCGUUCUGGACUGCUACUGACACUGAGGAACGAAAGCCAGGGGAGCAAACGGG
rnacentral:rRNA from 1 species